rnacentral:rRNA from 1 species
GACCCUGCCUUCGGGCGGGGGCUCCGGGUGGACACUUCAAACUCUUGCGUAACUUUGCAGUCUGAGUAAACUUAAUUAAUAAAUUAAAACUUUUAACAACGGAUCUCUUGGUUCUGGCAUCGAUGAAGAACGCAGCGAAAUGCGAUAAGUAAUGUGAAUUGCAGAAUUCAGUGAAUCAUCGAAUCUUUGAACGCACAUUGCGCCCCCUGGUAUUCCGGGGGGCAUGCCUGUUCGAGCGUCAUUUCACCACUCAAGCCUCGCUUGGUAUUGGGCAACGCGGUCCGCCGCGUGCCUCAAAUCGACCGGCUGGGUCUUCUGUCCCCUAAGCGUUGUGGAAACUAUUCGCUAAAGGGUGUUCGGGAGGCUACGCCGUAAAACAACCCC